rnacentral:rRNA from 1 species
UACGUAGGGGGCAAGCGUUGUCCGGAAUACUGGGCGUAAAGCGUGCGCAGGCGGUGAUGUAAGACAGAUGUGAAAUCCCCGGGCUCAACCUGGGAACUGCAUUUGUGACUGCAUCGCUGGAGUGCGGCAGAGGGGGAUGGAAUUCCGCGUGUAGCAGUGAAAUGCGUAGAUAUGCGGAGGAACACCGAUGGCGAAGGCAAUCCCCUGGGCCUGCACUGACGCUCAUGCACGAAAGCGUGGGGAGCAAACAGG